AUACGUAGGUGGCGAGCGUUGUCCGGAAUUACUGGGCGUAAAGGAUGCGUAGGUGGAUAUUUAAGUGGGAUGUGAAAUCCCCGGGCUCAACCCGGGAACUGCAUUCCAAACUGGGUAUCUAGAGUGCAGGAGAGGAAAGCGGAAUUCCUAGUGUAGCGGUGAAAUGCGUAGAUAUUAGGAGGAACACCAGUGGCGAAGGCGGUUUUCGGGACUGUAACUGACACUGAGGCAUGAAAGCGUGGGUAGCAAACAGGAUUAGAUACCCUGGUAGUCCACGCCGUAAACGAUGGGUACUAGGUGUAGGAGGUAUCGACCCCUUCUGUGCCGUCGUUAACACAAUAAGUACCCCGCCUGGGGAGUACGGUCGCAAGACUAAAACUCAAAGGAGUUGACGGGG
rnacentral:rRNA from 1 species